UUUUCCUCUCCUUAGAUAUACUGUGUGCAGCAUGUGGCUUUAUUUGAUGAAAAAGCUAUGUGGAUAUAAAUAAGAAGUGUCCUCAUGUGGUAUUAGACCAAGUACUAUAUACAAUUAAUGAACUGGACAAGAUUUCUCUAAGCUUUGUUCCUGCUGCUCUUAUAAAUCAAUUUCAUGUCUUCUUCAGUAAUGUUUUUCAUUUCUUCUUUCACAUAUAAUUAUUUCUCCUAACAAACAAUUAGGAUUAUUUCAAUUUUAGACCAAAAUAUAGAUAUUAUAAAGGGGAGAAAGGUGUAAGAUAAAGCAGAACAGAAGUUUUUUUGGUUAGGCUUUGGGGAAACAUAUAUAGACAUUUGAGUCAGAAACAGUAGUUUUUGUUUUUGUUUUUGUUUUUGUUUUUUUUUAAGCCACCCUGCAGCAUAUGGAGUUCCCAGGCCAGGGAUCAGAUCCAAACUGCACUUGUGAAUCUAGCUGAAGCUGCGGCAAUGCUGGAUCCUUAACCCACUGUACCAGGCUGGGGAUUGAACCUGUGUCCCAGUGCUCCCAAGGUGCUGCCAAUCCUUUUGUACCACAGUGGGAACUCCAAAAAAAAUUAGAUUUGUUGAACUAUAUUCUUAGUACAUUUCUAUCUGUUUCACUGGGGAGCACUAAGAUAUGGAUGAAGUGGCUGGAGUUGAGUCAGACUAUCUAUCAUUCCAGAAUCUUCUAGUCCGAAUUUAUCCUGCUUAAGGCUUCAUUAUACAAAACCCCCAUGCCUUUGGAAGGCAGCUUGUAGAAUAUUUCUGUUGUUUACGGAGGAUUUUCCAUUAGUUAUGCUGAAUGAAAAAUAAUUCAUUUAAUUCUGCUUACUCAGGAUUUGAGGCACUGGUUAUGUAAUGGUGUACAUGACUCUUAAGGGGUUUCAUUCUUCUGGAAUAAGAAACAAUCCCUAAUAGGGAAAUUCAACCCCUGAGUCUUGGCUUAUGGAAGGUAUAUUGGCUACCAUGCUAAUAAGGAGCUAUAACUAAAUGCUUCAAAUAUCAGACACCAUGCAAUUUUGUGGCCUGAAAGGAUAGAAAUAGAAGUGAGCCAACAUGAAUACACGUCUAGGAGUGUUCAUAUAAACUAUGGGGAGUAUCCAAAAUAGAACACAAAGUGAAACUUGGUUAUGCCUUCUCCAGACUGAUAGGAAAAUCUCUUUGAGUUGAAAUUUGAUUUUUGCUUAGGACAUAUCUUUCAAACAGCUGUUAUACUGACAGGCGAAGCCACACUAAAUGAAGGAAGUGAUUAAUGGUGGCUCGUAGAGGUGUAGCCUAAAGACACAUGAAAUCACUAAUAUCCCAUGAAAUUCUUCUUUGUGGACACUUUAAAAACGCUUUGCUUUGUCAAAACCAUGAUAGAGAGAUGUAAACAAAGGUGAUAAAGUGCUUUUGUAUGGUUCCCCUGUGAACAUACUUAACAUGUGAACUAGAACACCAUAGAUGCAUGCAGCAAAUGUGUUUAUCUAGGUGCUGAAUGUAUGGAAGUAUCUGAUGUGAGGAUCUUUCUAUUUUUUUUCCUUUUAAUGUUCAAUCAUUUGGUUGGUUUGUAGAUGAGGCCUCUUCGGGCAGAUUAUUAACCACCUAAUGCUCAGUUCCCUAGGAACUUAAUUGUCAGGAGAGUGAAAAUGCACUUAUAAAAAUCCAAGAAACUUAGAGUUCCUGUCAUGGCACAGCAGAAACAAAUCCAUUUAGGAACCAUGAGGUUGCAGGUUCGAUCCCGGGCCUCACUCAGUGGGUUAAGGAUCUGGCGUUGCUGUGAGCUGAGGUGUAGGCCGCAGACGUGGCUCGGAUCUGGCGUUGCUGUGGCUCUGGCGUAGGCUGGCAGCUAUAGCUCCAAUUAGACCCCUAGCCUGGGAACCUCCAUAUGCCAUGGGCGUGGCCCUAAAAAGACAAAAAAAAGACCCCCCCUCCCAAAAGAAAUCAAGAAACUUGACAAGAUGAGAUACUAGCAAAGGCUUCUGGCUCACUCCUACAAAAUGUACCUCGGAGAAUCCAUGGAAGGGAGGGGAAAUAUGUAAUUCAACCAUGAUUAACAAACUUUCUUUUUUCUUAUACCCACUGAUAGAAUUUUUCCUUGCAAAACAUUUGGUUCUGUCUAAAAUGACCAUGAUAACAUUUGGUCCAUGAGACAGUUGGUCCAAGCUAGAAGGUCUUUGAUAUUUGGUCAUAUUUGGUCCUGCCCAAAACAUCCAUGGACACAUUUGGUCCACACCAAAAGGUCCUUAAUAAUCAAGUCCUACCUAAAACCUCAUGGACUGGACCAAAUGUCUGCUAGCUGAAUUUUUAAAUAUGAUAUACCCUCUCAUGUACUGUAAGUUGAUAGUUUAUGAGUUUAUAAGAGUUGUGAAAAAGUUUAAUUCUUAGUAUAAUGUAAUAUUUACAAUAAAACUGCUGUCAUGGUUCUAAAUGGGAUUCAAUGGAAUCUAAAUGCCCUUUAUAGGGGAGCUCAAUAUAUAAUAAAGGGGAGACCAUUACUCAUGGGUAAUGGAGGAUUGUUUAGCAAAUGAUAUUAGGAAAAUAAGCUUAUUAUGUGCAGGAAAAUAGAGCUGAUUUCUUAUCUGCCGCCAUAUAUAUUGUAGGACUCUGGGUGAAAUAAUGACCUAAUGUGAAAGGUAAUACUACAAAGUUAAUAGAAGAAUUUACAGGUUAAGCUUAUUAUCUAGGCUUAGAGGAGGACUUUGCUGUGGACUAAAUGUCUGCGUCUCCUCAAAUUCCGUAUGUUGAAGCCUAAUCCCCAAAGUGAUGAUAUCUGGAGGUGGGUUCUUUGGAAGAUGAUUAGCUCAUGAGGGUGGAUCCCUCAUGAAUGGAAUUAGUGCUCUUUAAAAUGAAGGAUUUCUCUUUAACCAAGGAUGCCAUGGGCAGUAUUAACAGAAACAUGACAGAAUGAGUCAAUAAUUACAAUGUCAAAACAAAGAUGAAUAUAUAAGUUAUUCCAGGAACUCUUCCAAACCAACAAGAAUACAAAACAGUAACCUUGAUUGAAAGAUUAGCAAAGGACAUGAACCUCCUUUCUACAGAAGUGGAAACCCAAAGGCUAAUAAGACUAUGAAAAGAGAAAUGAAAAUUUAAAAACAAUGAUAUAUUUUUCUUCUGUUAGACUAAUUAUAGAGUGUGAUUAUACCAAGUAUUUGUGGGAAUGUCAGAGGAACCACUGUGUCCUGCUGGUGGGUGUCUAGACCAGUGCAGUCAUUCUGAAAAGCAAACUGCUGGCAUUUAAUCGAAGUACAAUGGAGGUACACGUGGUUGAAGACCCAAUAGUCUUGCUGAAUAUCCCAAAGAGAUUUGCACACAGGUCCAUGCGUGGACAUAUACAAACAAAUGUGUUUGUUGCCAUUUUCAUAUUAUUUUUUGCUGUGGGAGGGAUUUGAAUAUAAUCUUAUUCAUUACAGUGGAUGUGCCAGAGAGACAGAUGGAUUGUCUGUCUACAUAGAGCAAAAUGCUGAAUGAAAAUACUAAUAAAGAAGAUGAGAUCUAUUAACUCAAUACCAUUUACAUAAAUUUAAAAAUACGUGAUGUUGGAAUUCCCAUUGUGGCUCAGUGGGUUACGAACCCGACUAGUAUCCAUGAGGAUGGGGGUUCGAUUCCUGGCCUUGUUCAGUGGGUUAAGGACCAGCAUUGCUGCAAGCUACAGCAUAGGUCAUGAUGUGGCUCGAAUCUGGCAUUGCUGUGGCUGUGGCAUAGGCUGGC
rnacentral:lncRNA from 1 species